rnacentral:misc_RNA from 1 species
AUGAGUCGAACGCUCACUCCUAUUUAUCGUAUUUUUUCAUACUACAGGAUGGUCUCUUUUUUUAGAAUAAUUUGCCUUCUUUCUCACAGCUUUAGUCAAAGAAGUUUAAUUGUAUUUUCAUUUUCCUUUUUUUUUUCAUUUUAGAACUCCGCAUGUAUCAGCAAUGUAAUAUUUAUUGGGAUUUGUAAUAACUAAAUUCUGGGGUUGUAAUAUUAUUUAUGUGAAUGUGUGUGGAUAAAUGAGAUGGAUUGUGUUUGGAUGAGGG